rnacentral:rRNA from 1 species
UCGGGAAUUUUGGGCAAUGGGGGAAACCCUGACCCAGCAACGCCGCGUGAAGGAUGAAGUAUUUCGGUAUGUAAACUUCGAAAGAAUAGGAAGAAUAAAUGACGGUACUAUUUAUAAGGUCCGGCUAACUACGUGCCAGCAGCCGCGGUAAUACGUAGGGACCAAGCGUUGUUCGGAUUUACUGGGCGUAAAGGGCGCGUAGGCGGCAUGACAAGUCACUUGUGAAAUCUCUGGGCUUAACCCAGAACGGCCAAGUGAUACUGUCGCGCUAGAGUGCAGAAGGGGCAAUCGGAAUUCUUGGUGUAGCGGUGAAAUGCGUAGAUAUCAAGAGGAACACCUGAGGCGAAGGCGGGUUGCUGGGCUGAUACUGACGCUGAGGCGCGAAAGCUAGGGUAGCAAACAGGAUUAGAUACCCACGUAGUCCCUGAGCGGGCUGGCAAGGCGCAU